UACGGGGGGGGCAAGCGUUGUUCGGAAUUACUGGGCGUAAAGGGCUCGUAGGUGGUCAACUAAGUCAUACGUGAAAUCCCUCGGCUUAACCGGGGAACUGCGCCUGAUACUGGUUGACUUGAGUUUGGGAGAGGGACGCGGAAUUCCAGGUGUAGCGGUGAAAUGCGUAGAUAUCUGGAGGAACACCGGUGGCGAAGGCGGCGUCCUGGACCAAUACUGACGCUCAUGUGCGAAAGCGUGGGGAGCAAACAGG
rnacentral:rRNA from 1 species